rnacentral:rRNA from 1 species
GUUUGAUUAUGGUCAGAUUUAAGACGUGGCGGGAUGCUUUACACAUGCAAGUCGAACGGCAGCACGGACUUCGGUCUGGUGGCGAGUGGCGAGCAGGUGAGUAAUGUAUCGGAACGUGCCUAGUGGCAGGGGGAUAACUACGCGGCGUAGCUAAUACCACCUGCCGCUGUCGAGGAAAGCAGAGACCUUCGGAGCCUCGCACUAUUAGAGCAGCCGAUAUCGGAUUAGCUAGUUGGUGGGGUAACGGCUCACCAGGGCGACGAUCCGUAGCUGGUUUGAGAGGACGACCAGCCACACUGGGACUGGACAGCCCCGGGCUACAGGAGGGCAGCAGUGAGAAUUUUGGACAAUGGGGGAAACCCUGAUCCAGCCAUCCCGCGUGUGCGAUACGAAAGCCCUUCCGGGUUGUAAGCACUUUUGGCAGGAAAGAAACGGCACGGGAUAAUACCCCGUGCAACUGACGGUACCUGCAGGGCAGCGCAGCUUCUUCGUGCCAGCAGCCGCGGUAUUGGCUAGGGUGCAAGCGUUAAUCGGAAUUACUGGGCGUAAAGCGUACGCAGGCGGUUCAGGAAAGAAAGAUGUGAAAUCCCAGAGCUUAACUUUGGAACUGCAUUUUUAACUACCGAGCUAGAGUGUCAGAGGUGGAAUUCCGCGUGUAGCAGUGAAAUGCGUAGAUAUGCGGAGGAACACCGAUGGCGAAGGCAGCCUCCUGGGAUAACACUGACGCUCAUGCACGAAAGCGUGAAACCAAACAGGAUUAAGAUACCCUGGUGAUCCACGCCUAAACAGUGUCAACUGGCUAUUUGGGGCCUUCGGGCCUUGGUAGGCGCAACUAACGCGUGAAGUUGACCGCCUGGGGAAUGCAGUCGCAGGUCAAAACUCAAAGGAAUUGACGGGGACCCGCACAAGCGGUGGAUGAUGUGGAUUAAUUCGAUGCAACGCAGCCUUACCUACCCUUGACAUGUCUGGAAUCCCGAAGAGAUUUGGGAGUGCUCGCGAAGAACCGGAACACAGGGUGCUGCUGGCUGUCGUCAGCUCGUGUGUCGUGAGAUGUUGGGUUAAGUCCCGCAACGAAGCGCAACCCUUGUCAUUAGUUGCUACGAGGGCACUCCUAAUGAGACUGCCAGUGACAAACCGGAGGAAGGUGGGGAUGACGUCAAGUCCUCAUAGCCCUUAUGGGUAGGGCUUCACACGUCAUGCAAUGGUCGGGACAGAGGGUCGCCAACCCGCGAGGGGGUAAUCCCAGAAACCCGAUCGUAGUCCGGAUCGCAGUCUGCAACUCGACUGCGUGAAGAAGUCAGAUCGCUGGUAAUCGCGGAUCAGCAUGUCGCGGUGAAUACGUUCCGGGUCUUGUACACGCGUCACACCAUGGGAGUGAGUUUUGCAGAAGUAGUUAGCCUAACCAUGGGAAGGCUGGGGGGUGCCACGGUAGGAUUCAUGACUGGGGUGAAGUCGUAACAAAGGUAACUACU